CCAAGUCCGUAGCCAUUGGAGUAACUUAUAUUUCAUCCUCCUCACAUUUUUAUUCCUAGAUUGUUCAGCCCCUUCUUCCAUACAACUUCUGAUGAUUUAGUCUGCAACCCCUCCCAUCUGCAAACGUCACCGGCGGCGACCAUAACCUUUGUCGCUAGUCUGCCACUCAAUUUUAUUCUGUGCGCUGCAAACACCCUCCUUCCUCUAAAAAAAGAAAAAAACUCAUCUUCAUGCCCAACCUCCCAGCAUCAAAAUUCCUGAAAUAAAAGUGUGAAAAAUGGAGAAGGAGAUGAAGGAUGAAUCUCCAUUGAAAGAGAAGAGAGAAAAUGCAGAUAAAAUGCUUGAGGAAAAGGGAGAACAAAAAUAAAGAGCCUUUCAUUAUGGACUACAUUUUGGAAAGUUAUUGUUGCUAAUUACAAUAAGGAGCCUUAUAUAUAGACCAAGUAAAAAAAACAAAUAUCCAACUAAUCAAUCAAACUAAUUAUAUUUUAUUUUCAAUUUUAACACUCCCCUCAAGAUGGGAGAACACCAAAUGCAAAGUUCUUAUUUUAAUUGCUAAUUACAAUAAGGAGCCUUAUUUUCAACUAAUCAACCAUCUUGCCAAGGAAAAGAAGAAACUAACAAACAAACAAAAAAAACAUACAAAGUUCUUUCUUUUAUCAAAGGUCAAUGAAGCAUCCAAAGAACAUCAAAUGCAAAAGGAGAUGAAGGAUGAAUCUCCAUUGAAGGAGAAGAGAGAAAAUGCAGAAGAUGUGUUUCUCAUUCUGACUUUGAUCGCACUGUUAACUGAAAACAAGCACUCAUGGCAACCCCUGCUCAUCGCCUGAUCCAAGAUCAGAACCUAAACUUUCUCUACAAUGGCACUACUCCUGUGGGAAAGACUGAUGUGACUAAAGCACAUAAGAGAGGAGAUCUUGGAGGAAGGAGAGCACUUAACGACCUAUCAAACUCAAGAAACCCUUCUUCGUUUCACUCCAAGAACAAAGAUAGCUCCAUAAAUGUCAUCUCUAUUGACAAAUAUCCUUCAACUGUGAAAGGUAAGUCAUCCAAUGCAGCUGAGAAAGGUAGAGUUGCUGGUAGGAAAGCACUCAGUGACCUCACAAACUCGGUUAAGACACAUCCAAAGCAGAUUGGUAUGCCACUGUAUCACAUCAGCACCAGCAGCAAGGCAAGGACUUCAUCUCCCCUUGCAAGUGAUAUCAAAACUCCCCCUUAGUAGAGAAUCCAUCUUGAGCUAAAUGAUAUGGCCUUGACCCUGCCAUAGGGAAUGCAAUAAUGCAAGCUACACAAGAAAUGGCUGAGGGAAAAUUGAAUGAUCAUUUUCCUUUGGUUGUUUAGCAAACUGGCAGUGGUACUAAGAGUAACAUGAAUGACAAUGAGGUUAUUGCUAACAGAGAGCUGAGAUUCUUGGCCACAAGCGUGGUGAAAAGGUUGUACAUUCAAAUGACCAUGUAAACAGAUCGCAAUCUUCUAAUGACACAUUUCCAACUGUAUGCAUAUUGCUGCUGCAACAGAGAUCAAUUCAAGUGAAACCAUAUCCAAUCCAGAUGAAUCAGAUUCAGACAAUCAGGAUAUCACAUAAGAAUCAACUAAGAGUAAUGAUUCCAUGGUUUCCGAAACCAGUUUGAGGAGCUACGAAGAUGAUGUUUCUGACAAGGAUGAACAAGCAACACCAGGAUGUUGCAACCAAAAAAUCACCAAUUGUUGCAAUCACCAACAACAAAUUUCCAAUCCCCUACCCAAUGCGAGAGCAUCAAUAGCCUAGCGACCAAAGGUCUUGCAGUUGCAACAACUAAGAACAAUCAGUCAAUCACAAUACCAGCUACGAACAACACCGCCACGAACCAGGCUUCGAUCAUAGACAAGAGACUGAAGAAAAAGGUUUAGAAAACAGAGGAUCCGAUUUGAUCGGAGAAAACAGAAACUGAUUCACAAACGAAACAGAUCCAACCGAACAAUCGGUGAACAAUAAAACAAACAUCCGACAUACAAUCGGAAAACCAGAGAUAAAUCUGAAAACAUAUUCAGAUUCAACUACAAAUUUGAGAAAACAUAUUCUUAAAAUGAAACACUCAACCGAUUUUAAUCGGAGAGACACAAACUUGGAUCAUACAAAUCCAAUGAACAAUUCAUCGACGGAAAUUAACGCCGAAGAGAGACAAAAAAAUGAGAUGAAUCCAAUCAAUAAAACCAGAGAAUAUCAAAUAAAAGAACCGAUUGAAAAUCGAAAUUGAAGAAAAACAUAUCGGAGAGAGAAUAGAACUUGAUAAUUUUCGGAUCGGAAAUAGAGAGAUCCGAAAGAGGAUAGAACCCUAGCUGGAAACCAAACGAAAAAUUGAAAAAAAAAUAGAAGAGAUGGAGGUAAUCAGAGGCGCGCAACGGAUUUGCGAUCUGAUACCAUGUGAAAAAUGAAGAAGGAGAUGAAGGAUGAAUCUCCAUUGAAGGAGAAGAGAGAAAAUGCAGAUAAAAUGCUUGAGGAAAAGGGAGAACGAAAACGGAGAGCCUUUCAUUAUGGACUAUAUUUUAGAAAGUUAUUGUUGCUAAUUAUAAUAAGGAGUCUUAUAUAUAGGUCAAGUAAAAGAACAAAUAUCCAACUAAUCAACCUAACUAAUUACAUUUUAUUUUCAAUUUCAACAUUUAUCUUUUUGCAAGCUAAUAGAUGCCUUCUUAGUAAGAUGAGAGUGACGAAGACACAGUAGAAAAAUUGGUGGAGAUGAGACUGAAAUGAACUUGGAAACCAAGAAAUGGUGGUUGGUAUUUAUUGAAAAACUAUUAGGUUUUUUGGCUCAAUUUUUAAUGAAAUAAAAAAAAUAUACAGUCAUCAAUCCAUUUCCCGCCCAAAAGGGUAUGAAAGUCAUUUCACCACUUUAGAUUAGUAUAGAUAUAGAUAUAGAUGGUCCAUACUCCAUCAGAUCAUCUCAUUGCGAUGGAGUUGUCAUUGGUGUUGGGACACGGCUUUCAACCUGUAUUUCGUUUCAAUUCAACCAUCAAUAAUUCCAGCCAGAUUGCGGCCACUAUGCCGGUGCAUAUUGCCAAUCCAAUUUGUUCUAAUGAUGCUUCAGUACAUCCUCAAGUUCGGACCAAAUCACUCAGAAAAGUAUCCAAGGAAACAACAGAAUCUGCAAUUCGCGAUAUUCAAGAUUCUUCUGAUUUGGAGUGUGCUCUCUUAAGGUCAGGAGAGGCGUUGAGAGUGCAACAUCUGAAUAUCAUAUUGCGUUAUUUUGGGAAGUUUAACAGAUGGAAGGAUGUCUGCCAGCUUUUUGAUUGGAUGCGGCGUCAUGGAAAAAAUAAUAUUGCUUCCUACAGCAGUUACAUAAAGUUUGUGGGGAGGGAUUCUAAUGCUGCGAAGGCCUUGGAGAUAUACAAUAGUAUCAAAGAUGACUCUACAAGGAGCAAUGUAUCUGUUUGUAACUCCACAUUAAGUUGUCUAAUUAAAUGUGGCAAAUUCAACAGCAGCCUCAAGCUAUUUAAUCAAAUGAAGCAAGCUGGUCUCAUACCUGAUAUUAUAACUUAUAGUACGCUACUUUCGGGUUGUGCCAAGGUCAAAGGUGGUUACUCUAAGGCAAUGGAACUGGUCCAUGAAAUGAAAUCCAGGGGAUUGAGUAUGGAUGAUGUACUGUACGGAACACUAAUAUCAGUUUGUGCUUCAAAUAAUCAAUGCGAUGAAGCGGAAAAAUACUUUGAUGAGAUGAAGUCGGAAGGAAAUUUACCUAAUGUCUUUCACUACAGCUCUUUGUUAAAUGCAUAUGCUAUUGAUGGGAAUUAUAGGAAGGCUGAUAAAGUAAUUCAAGACAUGAGAUCUGCAGGAUUAACUUUGAACAAGGUCAUUCUCACAACUCUGCUGAAAGUAUAUGUUAGAGCAGGGCUAUUCGAGAAAUCAAGAGAACUGCUAGAUGAACUGCAAGCUUUAGGCUAUGCUGAAGAUGAGAUGCCAUACUGUUUGCUGAUGGAUGGCCUUGCUAAGUCUGGGAAACUUGUAGAGGCUAAAAUAGUUUUUGAUGAAAUGAGGAGAAAGGAAGUGAAAAAUGAUGGUUACUCCUACAGCAUUAUGAUUUCAGCCCUCUGCCGUGGCAAACUGAUUGAUGAAGCAAAACAGCUGGCUAGUGAAUUUGAGAUGAAGUAUGACAAAUACGAUGUGGUUAUUUUGAAUUCAAUGCUGUGUGUCUAUUGUAGAUCAGGUGACAUGGAGAAUGUAAUGAAGAUGAUGAAGAAAAUGGAUGAGUCAGCAAUUAGUCCUGAUUGGAGUACCUUUAAAAUUUUAAUAAAAUAUUUCUGCAAGGAGCAGCUGUAUUUACUUGCCUAUCGUACAAUGGAGGAUAUGCACAGCAAAGGUCACCAGCCUCUGGAGGAUCUCUGUGUCUCUUUGAUGAAAUCUCUCGGUUCAAUGGGUGCAUAUUCAGAAGCAUUUUCAGUAUAUACUAUGCUGAAAUAUAGCAAGAGAACGAUGAAUAAGGCCCUUCAUGGAAAAAUUUUACACAUUUUACUUUCAGGUGGACUUCUUAAAGAUGCAUAUCUAGUUGUCAAGGAUAAUGCAGAGUUAAUCCCUAAGCCAGCCAUUAAGAAGUUUGCUAUCUCCUUUACGAGGAACGGCAACAUAAACUUAGUAAAUGAUGUGAUCAAGUCUAUUCACAACUCAAACUACAAGAUUGAUCAGGAUAUAUUUCACUUGGCCAUUUCCCGUUACAUUGAGCAACCCGAAAAGAAAGACCUGCUUCUUCAUUUGCUACAGUGGAUGCCUGGUCAAGGUUAUGCUGUUGAUUCAACUACAAGUGAUAUGAUACUCAAGAAUUCACACUUCUUUGGGCACCAGUCAAUUGCAGAAUUAAUGUAUAAGCAUCAUACCGUGUUGAAGACAAAUAAAUUACGUAGAGAGGAGCAACGGACGAACAUGAGUUCUUAGCGUUUAAGGUGUGCUUUUGAUACAGAUCGAGAAUAAAGAUAUGCAUGAUAUUUAUCCUAGGAGUUUGUUAUUAUUUCCAUGUUUAUCUUUAGUAGAUUAACAUAUUUGAUUUAAUUACUUCUCAAACUAUUGAACAGAGGUAUCCAGGGGAUCAAUUAGUUUGUGCCCGGCAAGUGCUGUGAUGCAUUCGGUGAGUCUACCUGUCACUUUGUAUCAAAUGGUGCGAUGAACGUACCUUGCGCGAUGGAGACCAUACCUUGCACAGGGGAGAACACUAACGGAUUGGAGAAGGCGGUUGAGGAUCUGCACGCAGACAUGUGGGCACUCCUCCAAACAGUGAUCACUAUCUGAGAGUGCAUGCAGCGUUGCCUUGCCACAUGGUCCACCGACAGUAACUCAGUCUUUGCCUUCACCAGUUGAGAUUUCAACUGAUCAGGCAGCGAGAGCUCCAACACCCGUGUUGCAUCCAUGCCCUCUGCCACCGUCACCACCUCAUUGUCAGGGCGAUCCGUUACUUGUGAUUCCACCUUGUGCUGUUGUGCCAGCACCCGUGCUACACCCCAGCCCUCUGCCACGACCAAAACCACAGUUUGCGACAAACCCUAAGUUGUCGUCCGCCCUUAUGCCACUGUCCCUGCCCCUGCCACAGCAGCAGUCAUUUCCAGCACAAUCGAGACUGCUUCCUUCGCUGCCACGACCGCAUCCACUCUCCUCCAGCCAACAGCUCAGGCCCACUGCUUUUCGGCUCCUCGCACAGCUUCGGGGAUAUGAGAUUCCUGAUCCGUGUUAUUAUUUUCAUGUUUAUCUUUAGUAGGGUUUACUUUCAUGUUUAUCUUUAGUAGAUUUGAUUUAGAUUUCAUUUCAUCUUCCACAUAUUCUAUAAUUUCUUCUCAAACAAUUGAAGAGAGGUAUUCAAGAAGGGAUCAAACAAGUGCCGUGGGGGUUAGGAUUUUGUUCCAACCUCAGUGAAUUUUCUUGCAGUUGGAAAAUGGAAAUCUGCCCUUUUCUGGAUUU